CCUACGGGUGGCAGCAGUGAGGAAUAUUGGUCAAUGGCCGGAAGGCUGAACCAGCCAUGCCGCGUGAAGGUCAGUGCCCUAUGGGCGUUAAACUUCUUUUGUGCGGGAGCAAUAAUGGUCACGUGUGGCCAGACGAGAGUACCGUACGAAUAAGCAUCGGCUAAACCCGUGCCAGCAGCCGCGGUAAUACGGGGGAUGCAAGCGUUAUCCGGGUUUAUUGGGUUUAAAGGGUGCGUAGGCUGUGAGGUAAGUCAGCGGUGAAAUGCCCCCGCUCAACGGGGUGAAGUGCCAUUGAUACUGGCUGGCUGGAGUGCGGAUGCCGUGGGAGGAAUGUGUGGUGUAGCGGUGAAAUGCAUAGAUAUCACACAGAACACCGAUUGCGAAGGCAUCUCACGAAUCCGCGAUUGACGCUGAUGCACGAAAGCGUGGGUAUCAAACAGGAUUAGAUACCCUUGUAGUC
rnacentral:rRNA from 1 species